rnacentral:rRNA from 1 species
AUUGAACGCUGGCGGCAGGCCUAACACAUGCAAGUCGAGCGGAUGAUGGGAGCUUGCUCCUGGAUUCAGCGGCGGACGGGUGAGUAAUGCCUAGGAAUCUGCCUGGUAGUGGGGGACAACGUUUCGAAAGGAACGCUAAUACCGCAUACGUCCUACGGGAGAAAGCAGGGGACCUUCGGGCCUUGCGCUAUCAGAUGAGCCUAGGUCGGAUUAGCUAGUAGGUGAGGUAAAGGCUCACCGAGGCGACGAUCCGUAACUGGUCUGAGAGGAUGAUCAGUCACACUGGAACUGAGACACGGUCCAGACUCCUACGGGAGGCAGCAGUGGGGAAUAUUGGACAAUGGGCGAAAGCCUGAUCCAGCCAUGCCGCGUGUGUGAAGAAGGUCUUCGGAUUGUAAAGCACUUUAAGUUGGGAGGAAGGGCAGUAAGUUAAUACCUUGCUGUUUUGACGUUACCGACAGAAUAAGCACCGGCUAACUUCGUGCCAGCCGCCGCAGUAACAC